rnacentral:rRNA from 1 species
GACGAACGCUGGCGGCGUGCCUAAUACAUGCAAGUUGAGCGCUGAAGGCUGGUACUUGUACCAACUGGAUGAGCAGCGAACGGGUGAGUAACGCGUGGGGAAUCUGCCUUUGAGCGGGGGACAACCUUUGGAAACGAAUGCUAAUACCGCAUAAAAACUUUAAACAUAAGUUUUAAGUUUGAAAGAUGCAAUUGCAUCACUCAAAGAUGAUCCCUCGUUGUAUUAGCUAGGUGGUGAGGUAAAGGCUCACCAAGGCGAUGAUACAUAGCCGACCUGAGAGGGUGAGCGGCCACACUGGGACUGAGACACGGCCCAAACGCAUACGGGAGGCAGCAGGAGGGAAUCUUCGGCAAGGGACGAAAGACUGAGCGAGCAGCGCGGCAGGAGUGAAGAGGGAUGUCGGGUCGUGAAACACGGUUGGUAGAGAAGAACGUUGGUGAGAGUGGAAAGCUCAGCAAGUGACGGUAACGACUCAGAAAGGGACGGCUAACUACGUG